GAUCCUGGCUCAGGAUGAACGCUGGCGGCGUGCUUAACACAUGCAAGUCGAACGGGGAUUAUUUUGACAGAGACUUCGGUUGAAGUCGUUAUAAUCCUAGUGGCGGACGGGUGAGUAACGCGUGGGUAACCUGCCUCACACUGGGGGAUAACAGUCGGAAAUGACUGCUAAUACCGCAUAAGCGCACGGGAUUGCAUGAUCCAGUGUGAAAAACUCCGGUGGUGUGAGAUGGACCCGCGUUGG
rnacentral:rRNA from 1 species